AGAGUUUGAUCAUGGCUCAGAUUGAACGCUGGCGGCAUGCCUUACACAUGCAAGUCGAACGGUAACGGGCCUUCGGGUGCCGACGAGUGGCGAACGGGUGAGUAAUGCAUCGGAACGUACCUUUCAGUGGGGAUAACGUAGCGAAAGUUACGCUAAUACCGCAUAUUCUGUGAGCAGGAAAGCAGGGGAUCGCAAGACCUUGCGCUGAUUGAGCGGCCGAUGUCAGAUUAGCUAGUUGGUGAGGUAAAGGCUCACCAAGGCGACGAUCUGUAGCGGGUCUGAGAGGAUGAUCCGCCACACUGGAACUGAGACACGGUCCAGACGCCUACGGGAGGCAGCAGUGGGGAAUUUUGGACAAUGGGGGCAACCCUGAUCCAGCCAUGCCGCGUGAGUGAAGAAGGCCUUCGGGUUGUAAAGCUCUUUCGGCCGGGAAGAAAUCGCAUGGGUUAAUACCCUGUGCGGAUGACGGUACCGGCAUAAGAAGCACCGGCUAACUACGUG
rnacentral:rRNA from 1 species